rnacentral:tRNA from 1 species
GUUCCUGUAGUUAAAUUUUUAUAACGGUGGUUUUUCAGGCCACAGUUCUUGGGUAUGAGCCAAGUAGGAACU